rnacentral:rRNA from 1 species
GACCUCGGAUCAGGUAGGAAUACCCGCUGAACUUAAGCAUAUCAAGCGGGGGGGGGGGAAGUAGCCUUUCG